rnacentral:rRNA from 1 species
GACGAACGCUGGCGGCGUGCUUAACACAUGCAAGUCGAACGGAAAGGCCCUGCUUUUGUGGGGUGCUCGAGUGGCGAACGGGUGAGUAACACGUGAGUAACCUGCCCUUGACUUUGGGAUAACUUCAGGAAACUGGGGCUAAUACCGGAUAGGAGCUCCUGCUGCAUGGUGGGGGUUGGAAAGUUUCGGCGGUUGGGGAUGGACUCGCGGCUUAUCAGCUUGUUGGUGGGGUAGUGGCUUACCAAGGCUUUGACGGGUAGCCGGCCUGAGAGGGUGACCGGCCACAUUGGGACUGAGAUACGGCCCAGCCUCCUACGGGAGGCAGCAGUGGGGAAUAUUGCACAAGGGGCGGAAGCCUGAUGCAGCAACGCCGCGUGCGGGAUGACGGCCUUCGGGUUGUAAACCGCUUUCGCCUGUGACGAAGCGUGAGUGACGGUAAUGGGUAAAGAAGCACCGGCUAACUACGU